rnacentral:rRNA from 1 species
AUGAACGCUAGCUACAGGCUUAACACAUGCAAGUCGAGGGGCAGCAUGGUCUUAGCUUGCUAAGGCCGAUGGCGACCGGCGCACGGGUGAGUAACACGUAUCCAACCUGCCGUCUACUCUUGGACAGCCUUCUGAAAGGAAGAUUAAUACAAGAUGGCAUCAUGAGUCCGCAUGUUCACAUGAUUAAAGGUAUUCCGGUAGACGAUGGGGAUGCGUUCCAUUAGAUAGUAGGCGGGGUAACGGCCCACCUAGUCUUCGAUGGAUAGGGGUUCUGAGAGGAAGGUCCCCCACAUUGGAACUGAGACACGGUCCAAACUCCUACGGGAGGCAGCAGUGAGGAAUAUUGGUCAAUGGGCGAGAGCCUGAACCAGCCAAGUAGCGUGAAGGAUGACUGCCCUAUGGGUUGUAAACUUCUUUUAUAAAGGAAUAAAGUCGGGUAUGUAUACCCGUUUGCAUGUACUUUAUGAAUAAGGAUCGGCUAACUCCGUGCCAGCAGCCGCGGUAAUACGGAGGAUCCGAGCGUUAUCCGGAUUUAUUGGGUUUAAAGGGAGCGUAGAUGGAUGUUUAAGUCAGUUGUGAAAGUUGGCGGCUCCACCGUAAAAUUGCAGUUGAUACUGGAUAUCUUGAGUGCAGUUGAGGCAGGCGGAAUUCGUGGUGUAGCGGUGAAAUGCUUAGAUAUCACGAAGAACUCCGAUUGCGAAGGCAGCCUGCUAAGCUGCAACUGACAUUGAGGCUCGAAAGUGUGGGUAUCAAACAGGAUUAGAUACCCUGGUAGUCCACACGGUAAACGAUGAAUACUCGCUGUUUGCAAUAUACUGCAAGCGGCCAAGCGAAAGCGUUAAGUAUUCCACCUGGGGAGUACGCCGGCAACGGUGAAACUCAAAGGAAUUGACGGGGGCCCGCACAAGCAGUGGAGUAUGUGGUUUAAUUCGACGCAACGCGAAGAACCUUACCAGGGCUUGACAUAUAAGUGAAUAAUUAAGAGAUUAGUUAGCUCUUCGGAGCACUUAUACAGGUGGUGCAUGGUUGUCGUCAGCUCGUGCCGUGAGGUGUCGGGUUAAGUCCCAUAACGAGCGCAACCCCUACCGUUAGUUGCCAUCAGGUCAAGCUGGGCACUCUGGCGGGACUGCCGGUGUAAGCCGAGAGGAAGGUGGGGAUGACGUCAAAUCAGCACGGCCCUUACGUCCGGGGCUACACACGUGUUACAAUGGGGGGUACAGAGGGCCGCUACCACGCGAGUGGAUGCCAAUCCCAAAAACCUCUCUCAGUUCGGACUGGAGUCUGCAACCCGACUCCACGAAGCUGGAUUCGCUAGUAAUCGCGCAUCAGCCACGGCGCGGUGAAUACGUUCCCGGGCCUUGUACACACCGCCCGUCAAGCCAUGGGAGCCGGGGGUACCUGAAGUGCGUAACCGCGAGGAGCGCCCUAGGGUAAAACUGGUGACUGGGGCU